rnacentral:rRNA from 1 species
GAUGAACGCUGGCGGCAUGCUUUACACAUGCAAGUCGAACGGUAACAGGGUGCUUGCACCGCUGACGAGUGGCGAACGGGUGAGUAAUGCGUCGGAACGCACCGAGUAAUGGGGGAUAACGCAGCGAAAGCUGUGCUAAUACCGCGUACGCUCUGAGGAGGAAAGCGGGGGACCUUCGGGCCUCGCGUUAUUCGAGCGGCCGACGUCUGAUUAGCUAGUAGGUGAGGUAAGAGCUCACCUAGGCGACGAUCAGUAGCGGGUCUGAGAGGAUGAUCCGCCACACUGGGACUGAGACACGGCCCAGACUCCUACGGGAGGCAGCAGUGGGGAAUUUUGGACAAUGGGCGCAAGCCUGAUCCAGCCAUGCCGCGUGUCUGAAGAAGGCCUUCGGGUUGUAAAGGACUUUUGUCAGGGAGGAAAUCCUUAGCGCUAAUACCGUUGAGGGAUGACAGUACCUGAAGAAUAAGCACCGGCUAACUACGUGCCAGCCGCCGCAGUAAUAC